GACGAACGCUGGCGGCGUGCUUAACACAUGCAAGUCGAACGAUGAAGCUAGAGCUUGCUCUGGUGAAUUAGUGGCGAACGGGUGAGUAACACGUGAGUAGCCUGCCCCGAACUCUGGGAUAACUGCUGGAAACGGUAGCUAAUACUGGAUACGAACUACGAAGGCAUCUUCUGUAGGUGGAAAGAACUUCGGUUCGGGAUGGACUCGCGGCCUAUCAGCUUGGUGGUGGGGUAAUGGAUCACCAAGGCGACGACGGGUAGCCGGCCUGGGGGGGUGACCGGGCACACUGGGACUGAGACAAGGCCCAGACUCCUACGGGAGGCAGCAGUGGGGAAUAGUGCACAAUGGGCGCAAGCCUGAUGCAGCAACGCCGCGUGAGGGAUGACGGCCUUGGGGUUGUAAACCUCUUUUAGUAGGGAAGAAGCGAAAGUGACGGUACCUGCAGAAAAAGCACCGGCUAACUACGUGCCAGCAGCCGCAGUAA
rnacentral:rRNA from 1 species